rnacentral:rRNA from 1 species
UACGUAGUGCAAGCGUUAUCCGGAUUUACUGGGUGUAAAGGGAGCGCAGACGGAACUGCAAGUCUGAUGUGAAAGCCCGGGGCUCAACCGCGGGACUGCAUCGGAUACUGUGGAUCUGGAGUGCCGGAGGGGCAAGCGGAAUCCCUGGUGUAGCGGUGAAAUGCGUAGAUAUCAGGAGGAACACCGGCGGCGAAGGCGGCUUACUGGACGAAGACUGACGUUGAGGCUCGAAAGCGUGGGGAGCAAACAGGUUUAGAUACCCUGGUA